rnacentral:rRNA from 1 species
GACGAACGCUGGCGGCGUGCUUAACACAUGCAAGUCGAACGGAAAGGCUCCAGCUUGCUGGAGUACUCGAGUGGCGAACGGGUGAGUAACACGUGGGUAAUCUGCCCUGCACUCUGGGAUAAGCCUGGGAAACUGGGUCUAAUACUGGAUAUGACCUUUCUCCUUAUGGGGUUUGGUGGAAAGUUUUUCGGUGUAGGAUGAGCCCGCGGCCUAUCAGCUUGCUGGUGGGGUGAUGGCCUACCAAGGCGACGACGGGUAGCCGGCCUGAGAGGGUGAUCGGCCACAUUGGGACUGAGAUACGGCCCAGACUCCUACGGGAGGCAGCAGUGGGGAAUAUUGCACAAUGGGCGGAAGCCUGAUGCAGCGACGCCGCGUGAGGGAUGACGGCCUUCGGGUUGUAAACCUCUUUCAGCAGGGACGAAGCGUAAGUGACGGUACCUGCAGAAGAAGCACCGGCUAACUACGUG